rnacentral:rRNA from 1 species
UACGGAGGGGGCUAGCGUUGUUCGGAAUUACUGGGCGUAAAGCGCACGUAGGCGGCUUUGUAAGUUAGAGGUGAAAGCCCGGGGCUCAACUCCGGAAUUGCCUUUAAGACUGCAUCGCUAGAAUUGUGGAGAGGUAAGUGGAAUUCCGGGUGGAGCGGUGAAAUGCGUAGAGAUCCGGAGGAACACCGACGGCGUAGGCAGCGCCCUGGACGACACCUGACGCUGAGGCACGAAAGCUGGGGGAGCGAACAGG